GCCCGCAUAGCUCAGUGGUAGAGCGCUUGACUUGUAAUCAAGAGGUGGGCGGUUCAAUCCCGCCUGUGGGCA
rfam:Coccidioides immitis H538.4 supercont1.1 genomic scaffold, whole genome shotgun sequence.